CUUUGGCUUUCUUUAGAAGUCCUAAAUGAAAUAGGAAAUUGAGGCUUUUAUUGAAAUGAUAAAGAAAAAUACAUUUUCUUUGAGCAUCUAUCAUCUAGAUUUGUGGUGGAUGGGUGGGGAAGUGUUAUUUUGGACUUAAUUGCAUAUAAUUUUUUUUAAUUUGCUUGUGACCUUUUGUGGCCAUGAAUGAGGCAAGUAGGGUCUGAGAACAGAAAACAAAACGUGUAUGUCUUUUUUUUCCUUAUAAACCUUAUCAAAACAUACCCUAACUGUAUUUCUAGUCAUUAAUUUGUUAGAGUUAUUGAAAUAUUGUGGUAAGGAGAAAUCAUAGGUUUAUAAUCUGGAAUCAUAUAAGUACAAUCUUGGUUAGUUUGUUGUGCUAGGAGAUUUGGUGAAUAUCUUAUUUAAUACACCUUAUAUUGGUUACUCGCUUUUGAGGUUGCAUUCAAUGACAAAAUUGUCAAAUGACAAAAAUGUGUCAUAUUUCUAAAUUUCCUUUGGUUUAAGAAACUCUAAGGAUGAUUUUUUUUAUUGUAUUCCUAGUCUUAUCCCAGAGAUGUAUUCACUAGUACUAAUUAAAAUUUCUGUCCUACUCCUUACCCUGUAGGAAAUACUAUCACACCUGCCACACAGUGGCUUGGAGGACUUCCUGUAUUUUUUACGAAACUCAGUUGCAAGAUGGUGCUACAUUGGAAAAUGAUGACUUCUAUGAUGGUAGAGGAAAAGUGGACAUUCUGAAUUUACCUGUAAGACAUAAUUGCAAUGGAAGACUGUGGAAAGAUAUGGUAAUGUUCAAAAGAAGACAAAAUCAACUCAUUUUAAUAUGUCAAGACAAAUCUUAAGUAAAUUUUUUUUUGUGAAAUUGGCAUUUAAAGAUUAUUUUUAUUCCACCUAUAAUCCAAUGUACCAAUAUCUCUAAAAUCCAGUGGGGCUUAUGGAUAUUUAAAGAGUACUAGUAAUUCUGGUGUGAUGGCUUGGUGAGGUUUUUUCAGAGUUGCACAUUAAUUUUGUGGUGUCCACCUCACACUCAACUCUCACCCAGGCCUCUAAUAAGUUGUAGUAUGAACUUUAAUCUUAUUCCAACAAACCAUCUUAUCAGAUGAUCUAAACCAAGUUGAGGGUAAUCAAUAAUCCACAAAUCCACUGGUGAGUUACAGGAGUAUCUACCUCAAAUAUGUGAAGAUUUCUCCCAGCAAAGCGAUCAGAUUAGAGCAAUUUUUUCCAAUGGCAUUGAAGAUGGUUGAAGCACUUAGAGCUUGGUCAGAUAUUAAAGAUGCCAACAUUAUCCAUUGUAUCAUGAGCCAUCAUCACUAGGUAUCCAGUCUUUUGCCUUAACAUUGGACUUCAAUGAUUCUGUAAGGGAAAGUAAGCUGAUAAUUUUGUACAGCUCUGCCUCACUUAAAUCCAAUUUAUAAUUAAGUCAAGACAUUGUCCUGUGAUAUAAUUAGUCUUCUUUGAAAAUAAUGAACAAAGUCCAAUAUGCAGAAAUAGUAUGGUAAUGUGGAAAGUGUUGGACUUGGAGUAAGGAAGACUUUGGUUAGAAUCGCACAUCAGAGAUUUAGGGAUUCCUGAUUCCUUAGAAAAAGGGCUCAGAAUGUAGCAAUUAAGGAGCCCAUUCCUAGUGAAAGAAAAAAAAUGGUGUAUCUUAAUGGCAAGGUUGGUCGGAGUGAAAUUCCUUUAUCUUAGCUUAGUGCAAGGAUGUCCAUUUUAUUCCUUAAAAAAUCCAGCCCAGAUACAAGGAGUAGUCUGAGUCCCAUAACAAGAUUCCAAGACUAUCCUUAGAUCAAGCUAGAUUUGCU
rnacentral:lncRNA from 1 species